AACACUGUUAACCUGCGGUACCUGCGGAAGGAUCAUUACCAGAGAGCCUUUUGGCACUCCAACCCAUUGUGAACAUACCUAUCGUUCCCUCGGCGGGCUCAGCGCGCGGGGCCUCCGGGCUUCCGGGCGUCCGCCGGGGACAACCAAACCCUGAUUUACUACGUGUAUCUCUGAGGGGCGAAAGCCCGAAAACAAAAUAAAUCAAAACUUUCAGCAACGGAUCUCAGAUCGGAAGAGCAC
rnacentral:misc_RNA from 1 species